AUUGAACGCUGGCGGCAUGCUUUACACAUGCAAGUCGAACGGCAGCACGGGUGCUUGCACCUGGUGGCGAGUGGCGAACGGGUGAGUAAUGCAUCGGAACGUAUCCAAUAAUGGGGGAUAACGCAUCGAAAGGUGUGCUAAUACCGCAUACGCCCUGAGGGGGAAGGUGGGGGAUCUUCGGACCUCACGUUAAUGGAGCGGCCGAUGCCUGAUUAGCUAGUUGGUGAGGUAAAGGCUCACCAAGGCGACGAUCAGUAGCUGGUCUGAGAGGACGACCAGCCACACUGGGACUGAGACACGGCCCAGACUCCUACGGGAGGCAGCAGUGGGGAAUUUUGGACAAUGGGGGCAACCCUGAUCCAGCCAUGCCGCGUGAGUGAAGAAGGCCUUCGGGUUGUAAAGCUCUUUCGCAAGGGAAGAAAAAGCAGGCUCUAACAUAGCCUGUUCAUGACGGUACCUUGAUAAGAAGCACCGGCUAACUACGUGCCAGCCGCCGCCGUAA
rnacentral:rRNA from 1 species